CGAGCGGCCCCCCGUGAGGCGGCGGCGGCGGUAAGAUGGCGGCGGCGGCGGCGCGCGGGGGCAGCCCCUCGCUGUCGGCGGGGGAGGAGGAGCCGCCGCUGGGGCUCGACUCGCUCGUCGAGGAGGCGGCGGCGGCGGCGCCGAGCGCCGGGUUCCGGCUGACGGCGGUGCGGCGAGAACCGGCGGUCCGGUUGCAGCACGGCGUCAGCGGGCUGGAGCCGCUGGCCUGGUCGGAGGACCACCGGGUGUCGGUGAGCACGGCCCGCAGCAUCGCCGUCCUGGAGCAGCUCAGCGACGUCCACAGCGGCGGGCAGGAGAUGGUCAUCCACCGCACGGCCGUGCCCGCGCCCUCCGCCGCCUGUCUCCUCAAGGUUGGUCCAAAAAAGGAGGUAGCAGAGUGUAAGGAAAAGUUCGCAAGUUCAGUGGAUCCAACCGUUAGUCAAACUUUUAUGCUAGACCGAGUGUUCAAUCCCGAGGGGAAGUCAUUGCCGCCUAUGCGAGGAUUCAAGUAUUCCAGCUGGUCACCGCUGGGCUGCGACGCGAAUGGAAGGUGCCUGCUUGCAGCUUUAACCAUGGACAAUCGAUUGACCAUCCACACAAACCUCAACAGACUGCAGUGGGUGCAGCUGGUGGACCUGACAGAAAUCUAUGGGGAGCGUUUGUAUGAAGCCAGUUACAAACUUUCUAAGGCUGACACUCCCAGGGGAGACCUAGGAGACUUCUCUGAAUUUCAGCGACGGCACAGCAUGCAGACUCCAGUGCGGAUGGAGUGGUCGGGCAUCUGCACCACUCAGCAGGUUAAACACAACAACGAAUGCCGGGAUGUCGGUAGCGUGCUCUUAGCAGUACUCUUUGAAAACGGUAACAUUGCAGUUUGGCAAUUUCAGCUUCCAUUUCUGGGUAAGGAAUCCAUUACUUCUUGCAAUACCAUAGAGUCCGGAAUAAAUUCCCCAAGUGUGCUAUCUUGGUGGGAAUAUGAACAUAACAACCGAAAGAUGAGCGGGCUUAUUGUAGGGAGUGCUUUUGGACCAGUUAAGAUCCUUCCUGUCAAUCUGAAAGCAGUCAAAGGCUACUUUACGCUCAGACAACCCGUAGUCUUAUGGCAAGAAAUGGACCAGUUACCAGUGCAUAGUAUCAAAUGUAUUCCUCUUUACCACCCCUACCAGAAAUGUAGUUGUAGCUUAGUGGUGGCUGCAAGAGGAGCUUAUGUGUUUUGGUGUCUCCUCUUGAUAUCAAAAGCAGGUCUGAAUGUCCAUAAUUCCCACGUGACGGGGCUUCAUUCUUUGCCAAUCGUAUCUAUGACUGCAGACAAACAGAACGGCACGGUGUAUACGUGCUCCAGUGACGGAAAGGUAAGGCAGCUGAUUCCUAUAUUCACAGAUGUUGCUUUAAAGUUUGAGCACCAGCUGAUUAAGCUCUCAGAAGUGUUUGGCUCUGUCAGGACUCAUGGAAUAGCUGUUAGCCCAUGCGGUGCAUACUUAGCAGUUAUUACGACAGAGGGCAUGACGAACGGUCUGCACCCAGUCAACAAAAACUACCAAGUUCAGUUUGUAACCCUUAAGACUUUUGAGGAGGCAGCUGCGCAGCUCUUGGAAUCUUCUGUUCAGAACCUUUUCCGGCAAGUGGACUUGACGGAUCUUGUACGCUGGAAAAUUUUGAAGGAUAAGCAUAUUCCUCAGUUCUUACAGGAAGCACUGGAUAAAAAGAUUGAGAGUUGUGGUUCUACUUACUUCUGGCGGUUUAAGCUAUUUCUCCUGAGGAUUUUGUACCAGUCAAUGCAGAAAGCUCCCUCGGAGGUCAUGUGGAGACCUUCACAUGAGGAUGCAAAAAUUUUGAUAUCAGAUUCCCCUGGGAUGGGCAGCACUGAAGAUGAUCAAGAGGAAGGGACUUCUAAACAAGCCAGCAAGCAGAGCCUAUGCGACACAGGCAAAGGUAUGGACAUAGAUGACGCUGCAGAUGAUUCUCUUCCUCAGUCAAGUGACAUAGGAGGCCGCGAGCCAAUGGAAGAAAAGCUUCUUGAAAUACAGGCACAAAUUGAGGCAGUAGAAAUGCACUUGACACGAGAACACAUGAAACGGGUGUUGGGAGAAGUUUAUCUACACACAUGGAUUACAGAAAACACCAGUAUACCCACCAGAGGAGUCUGUGACUUCUUAAUGUCCGAUGAUGGCUAUGAUGACAGAACAGCACGAGUGCUGAUUGGGCAUAUCUUAAAGAAAAUGAACAAACAGACUUUUCCAGAGCACUGCAGCUUGUGUAAAGAGAUCCUGCCAUUCACUGAUCGCAAACAGGCAGUCUGCUCCAAUGGACAUAUUUGGCUCAGGUGCUUUCUAACCUACCAAUCCUGUCAGAGUUUGGUAUACAGGAGGUGUUUGCUUCACGACAGCAUUGCACGGCAUCCAACCCCAGAAGAUCCUGAAUGGAUCAAGAGGUUAUUGCAAGGACCUUGCACAUUCUGUGAUUCUCCUGUGUUCUAGAGAAAAGCUAUGUAAAGAUUGAAAGUAUUUUCUCUGCUGCAUAAGCUCCCUUCAGUCUCGAAGGAUAUAGAACAUAGGAAUACAGACUUUACUAGAGGGGGAAGAUGUUGUCCACAGCCCUGUAAAUAGAACAUCGGAGGUUCUAGAAACCCCUUAAAUCCAGAGCCUGUUCCAUGCUCCAGAAACAGGAGUACAUCUGGAAGAAUGAGUUUAUAAGGCGGUUUGGAAAUGCACCCCAUUGAAGCAUCAGCAGCUGGACAUGCUUCCUUUUACUGGAAAGGAACUGAAGUCUUAAGCACGCAGUGUGAACUGUCCUUCAUGCCCGACAAGUGUGUGAUUUCCCCAAAGCUGGGACGGGAACAAUGGAGCUGCCUCUUGAAUGGUCUUGGUGGGUAGAGAAGGCUUCAGCCUGUAGUGCUCGCGUUUGCUUUUUAACAAGCACUGGCACUUGCUGCAGAAUAUUAAACUAUCAAAAUAAUUUGUGGUUCUAAUUUCUCGCAGAGUGAAGCAUGUGCCAGUUACAGCCAUAUGAAAGAAAUUGGCCAUUAUAUUAGUUUCACUUGAAGUCUAGAAGAAUAACUCCCUCUUAACUGUUGUAACAAUAUUGCAGUCAGAAGGGUAAUAUUGGCUGCCUGGGUCAAAUAACAGAUCAGUAAGAAUAACUUUUAAAUGUAAUAAUUAUUAAACUAAUAGCAAUUAGAUUAAACACUAACAUAAUUUCCAGUGCUUUUAAGUCUCUUGCCCCACUCUCUUUUUCUGACCUAAGUUCUAACUACUUCCUAGCUUUUGCCAAUGUAUAUCCCUUUUGUUUCACUUAACCCUCUACCACCAGGAAUCAUCUUCUCCAGUGUAACUCAGUUAACAAAAACAUUACCGAUUUACCUUAUUUUCAGUUGAAUUGAGAGUCUCCCUCAUACAGUAACUGAGUUUUACAGAAGUUUGACACACAAGUAAUCACUCCCAGCUGACAGUUUCUCUUUUCAUAAUAAUGCAGUAAAGAAAAAAAAAAACCCAAACCAAAACUCACCAUGGCCAAUAUGUUAUAGGUAGAGUUUCCACCAGUGGUCAUGGAGUCUGGUGAAGCUAUUCAUGUAUAACCUUGACAUUCUCAUCAAGAGAUUCAUAAAUACGCCAAUGAUGUAGCAUGGCUGAGCCCAGAAAUUUAUUCUGCCUUCUAACUGUCCUAUCAUAAUAAAACCAUCUUUCUCUCUUUGGCAUCUAGUUCCUAUGGGGAGCAGGAGAAUCCUUUUGAACUUCCUAUGCAGUGUUAGAGGAAUAAUACCUCCAAAAUGUGUGUGGUUAUCUGGUACAGUUUGUCUUGUUAACUUAAAUCCAUGUUGUCAAAUAAUCCAAAGUUUAUGUAUUUACAUUCUUCAGAGUACCAAUCUGGACACUCGGAUAAGUUGCCCUGUUUGUGAUUCAUGACACUUCUAAUUGUGUGUGAAGUGCUCUACAGCUGUUUGAGAAAUCAAGGAAUCAUCCUGGCAGUAUCAGUCUCCAACAAUGCAUGUGUGGAUUGGUGCUUAAGUUUCCUUGAUUCAAUGACUAUGCAUAUUUUCUUAAUGUUCCUUCACCUUUAGUAGGAGCAAAUUUUUUUCAGCUAACAUUACAACAAGUCAGCUGUCCUUACUAUUCAGUGUUUUCAUGCAUUAAGCGUGAUAGUGCUUCGAUUGAGAAUAAUAUUAAUAUAGUAGCCUAGAACAGCAGAAGCACAUUCAUCUGUAAAAUAAUUAGCCUUGUUUGUAAAUAUCCUUGGAAGUGAUACCAUAAUUGUAUUAAAGAAAUGUUUAGUUUUUUAUUGCUGUGCAUUGAAAAUUGAAAUUACUUCAGUGUGUCUGCAAAGAAAGAAAAUGUAGAUUGUGUUAGCACCUAGUAAAACAAAGAGUAACCUUGAUACCCAGCGUGUGUGUAGUUUGGGGCCAGGUACUGUACCUGGGGCAGCAUUUAUCUUCUUCCCAGUGCUGAUGGGGUUUGCGAGGAACAGAACAUCAAUUUCCAAUAUGAGCUGAACAGGUUUGUUCAUGGGGGUAGGGAAAACAUUUUAAGUGGAAGCUGCAAGUCCUUGUCCAGGCAGUCCUGACCAGUUCAUCAGCGAGGAAGUGUUCGAUUCAGAAGUUCAUCUGACUAUGGAAAAAGGUGAGAGCUCUCCAGAACCAUGUGUAAAUGCUUUAAAAAAAAGUCAGCAUUUCUUUGAUAUUGGCUUAGAAACCAUAAUAAUAUUCUGAUCUGCUGAAAUGUUUAAGUCUGGCUGACCAAAAGGUUCAGCUUGGUAUCAUUAGAUUAAUUCCUGGUGAUUAUUUCUAGCAGUUAUCUUGAAUUUCCCUGGAUUGAGUUUUAAUGCUUUAGAUUUAGACAUGUAGAAGCUCUAGUACACCUAGCAUUAAUGUUGCAGCAUUAAUGUUUAUUUUCCUUGUCUUUCAAGGCAGUAGACACUCAGUAUACCAUUGCCAGUUUAUUUAACCUGAUUUAUGACUGCUGGGAGAAUGGAAUUUUAAAGCCAAUGAUGUCAGCUUUGUCUGCAUGCCAGUGGAGAUCCUUUAGCACAAAGCUUUCACUUCUCACCCUGACCCAUUCACAACAGGUAAAGAGGUAUUGUAAAUUUUUUUUUUUUUUUUUUAAACCAUCACUGGUCCAUAAAGUGUAUUUUUAACUAGUGUAGGCUUGAAUAGUAUAGCACGCGUCAGACCAGUAACAUUUAACCUCUGAUGCUGAUCUUACUGGAUUUUUUUGCCCAGCUAGCAGCGGAGACUUCCUUCAGGAAACCUUUUAUCUGUCUUGGACUCAUGACUUGCAGUUCUGGGAAUGUGGAGGAUUGUGGUACUUGCUCUUGCAUCUGAGAAUUAAUAGCCAGAGAAUUAAUAGCUUCUGUGUCUGAAGCUAAGGCAUCGUUGUCCUUGAUAAGUAGCUUCUGAUAGCAUUUAAGAUUUGCUACUCAUGCUGAUAACAACAGUUAAUCCCUCCUCCACUGGGAUGAAGAAAUCCAGGCUAAUCCAGGUUUGAUGGAUAAGCAGAACAGCUCUGGCCUGUACAGCUUCUUGGUGCCUUGGUGCUAGAUGCCAUUGUCUGAACUAAGGUGAAAGUUUCGGCUCAUGAGGACUCUGUUUGGGCCUCCAAACUGCACCUCCUGCUCUGGAAUUGGUGACAGUGGAACUCAUUGCUGCCUUUUAGCUUAAUUCAGCUAUGGGUUGGGGACUUAAUCAAUCGAUCAUCCUUUCCUUUUUUAUGAUCCCCCAUCCUAUUAAUCCUAUUGUAUAUUUCUAGAGAGGAAAUAUUAUGGUUGCUAAUGCAUACAUACAGGCAAUAAAUAUUUCCCUGAUUUUCUUAUACUUACCAGGUUUUCCACUAGCUAAUGUAUCAUCAGUGAUUACGCACAGCAUAACACUAUUUAUUCUAUCCUUAUUAAGGGUUUCUUGACAUAAAAGAACUGAACGCAAACAUUUAUAGUCCUAGUUAAAGGCUAACAAAUCACACUUGUGCUGUUAUGCCCUAAACUAACAUUUACAGGAGACUUGUUUGUACAAGUUUAAUUUCUCAAAUACAGAGCCCGCCCUUUAUGACCCAGGCAGUUUGUGAAGCAGUGGGCAGCCUUGCAGGCACAGCUGCUGGACUCUCAGUUGCCACUUACAGGUACGGCCUCAGAGAGAGAAUGAGGAAGAGAGCCUAACCCCGCUCCUCAGAGCCCUCACCGCGGAGCAGGUUGGGGUUAAUCACUGAAGCCGUUGCUCUUUUGCCAACAUCUAAACUUUGUGCGUGAGACAGAUGUGCAAGGCCAGUUAGAUGUGCCUACCAGUAGAUUAUCUUCAGGACAGUGGCUGCGGGAAGAGGAAGGUACCUCUUCAUUCUCUCUUGUCUGCCUUUCUGCUGAGUGGAGCUGUAGGUAUGUCAGUGAGAGGCCACCAGGUGCCUGCUUCCUACUGUCAGUCAUGGUAAAGUGCUUGCUGGCUUUUUACAAUCUAAUUCAUGCUGGUUUUUCAAUUCUUUCUGGCAGUCACCUUGUAAGUGUGUAGUUAGUAGCAGUCCAAUACUUAACAAUAUAAUAAACUUCAAAAUUUGUUACCGCAGAGCACUAGUUCAUAUUUUUGCAGCUGGAAGUAAGGGUAACAGCAGUCUUAGCCUCAAAGUGUUGGUAGUCAUGGCAAAAGUCAGAUUUAUAGUAAGCAUCUAAAUUAUCUGGAAGAAGGUGUUUAUGAGUUCUCAGUGAAUAAAGGUGAAAUGCUCUGAGUAGUUACCAAUCCUAUGUCUGUCCUCAUCCUCCUUUUGUAUUCCCUUUUGAAGCUUUCUGUAUCAUCAGGCCUGUAAACGCACAAAUUAUGCUGGUUAUACUCCAGACUUGCAUCGAAGUGUGUAGGGUUUAUUCUUUAACCAGAACCGGUACAAAUGUCUGCGUGGAGAUGCCUGCCAGUUUACAGCUCCACUGGUGAAUACCAGGUUGAAAGCUGCUUUUUCCUCCUCCAUGUGGGUAAACAAGGACAACUUGAGCUCGGCUCUAUUCAUCUGCAGUCCUGUCCUAGCUGUCGAAGGUGCAGGAAUCUUAACAAGACAGAGUCGAGCCUUCUCUUGGAAGUCUCAAUCCAGGAGUUUUUCACAACUUUUAGAGGUUAGUAUGUGUGUACAGCAAUGCCCACAGAGCUUUAGUUUUCACCUCUUAACAGAGGAGGGCCGUGUAUACAUACUCAGAUUUCUGUCUGUGCUAAUCUUUGGCUGUACUCAUUUCUAACUCUGGAGAUGUUCCCAGACCCUCAGUGUCAGUUGAAAUAUUCUUAUUCUGUCACUAUUUUUUCAUGCUAACUCAGUUUUAGCACUCUUCACUUGAAAGACCUGGAACUUCUGCUGCUCUGUCAUGAUCUGGGUAGCGACCUCAGGAGUGUCACAGCUGCCUGUGGAUGGUUGUUUUCAUUGUUGCAACGCAGCUGUCGCAUGAGGCACUUGCUAGCAUUAACUACACUACAGUUUGGGGCAGAAAGCAGAGUAAUUCCCUGUACUGUCCUAGGCUGCAGCUGAAUCAAGCCAAAAUGUGAAUGUUUGGAGCACCUUCAUCACAGGAGGACUCGCGCACUGCUGAGAGCCUACAGCAGGAGUUACAGGGCUGUGCCAGCCCUGCAGCAUUCUUUAACACGAAACUGGGAGGCCAGCCCUGGAAAGGGAAAACGCAAGAGCCAUCCAAAUGGAACUGUUCAGAGGAGAGUUUAAUUUAAUUGCUCCGCUAAUCUAGUUGAUAUCUUCAUGCUACUUUAAUUCUGUUCUGGGGUGCGAGUGUUGUAGCUGGCUGACCACGCGGUCAUCAGGCUGAACGAAAAGCAAAGUUUAGUUUUAAUCUUUAGUUUCCGGAUUUUUCCUUUGAGACUUCGUUCAUGGGAGGGUCUGACAAAGUUGCUGUGAAUAUUGAUGCUGUGUAUAUGGCACAUUUUGUAAACGUGAAGCAAACCUGGAUGAAUGUUUUGUAUACCACGACAGUAGCAUUGUAAUCCUGCUCCUUUUUUAUUCUAAAUAAAUAAAUAAAGUA